rnacentral:rRNA from 1 species
GGCCGGUACGCUUUCGGCUCUUGCAGUCGAGGUAUGACCUGGUCAUCCGUACGGGAAGCCUUCUCGGCCUUCACUGGUCGGAUUGUGGAUCGUACACUUUACUUUGAAAAAAUUAGAGUGUUUCAGGCAGGCAAUUGCUUGGAUACUGCAGCAUGGAAUAAUGGAAUAGGACUUUGAUCUAUUUGUUGGUUUCUCGAGAUCAAAGUA